GUGAACGCCCUCACGGGCUUAUACUAUUCCAAGCCUCUGUGAACCGUGCCCUUCGGGGCUAUUUUACAAACAUGGUGUAAUGAACGUCAUAUAUCAUAACAAAACA
rnacentral:misc_RNA from 1 species